UAACGCGUGAGGAACCUGCCUUCCAGAGGGGGACAACAGUUGGAAACGACUGCUAACACCGCAUGAUGCGUUGGAGCCGCAUGACUCCGACGUCAAAGAUUUAUCGCUGGAAGAUGGCCUCGCGUCUGAUUAGCUAGUUGGUGAGGUAACGGCCCACCAAGGCGACGAUCAGUAGCCGGACUGAGAGGUUGGCCGGCCACAUUGGGACUGAGAUACGGCCCAGACUCCUACGGGAGGCAGCAG
rnacentral:rRNA from 1 species